rnacentral:rRNA from 1 species
AACUUUUAACAACGGAUCUCUUGGCUCCAGCAUCGAUGAAGAACGCAGCGAAACGCGAUAUGUAAUGUGAAUUGCAGAAUUCAGUGAAUCAUCGAAUCUUUGAACGCACAUGGCGCCUUCCAGUAUCCUGGGAGGCAUGCCUGUCCGAGCGUCGU